CCUACGGGGGGCAGCAGUAGGGAAUUUUCGGCAAUGGGGGGAACCCUGACCGAGCAACGCCGCGUGAACGAAGAAGUUAUUCGUAAUGUAAAGUUCUUUUAACAGGGAAGAAAGAGAAAUUUGACGGUACCUGAAGAAUAAGCUCCGGCUAACUACGUGCCAGCAGCCGCGGUAAUACGUAGGGAGCCAGCGUUAUCCGGAAUUAUUGGGCGUAAAGGGUGCGUAGAUGGCAUAGUAAGUCUUUUGUAAAAAUGCUGGGCUCAACCCAGUAGGGCAAAAGAUACUGCAAAGCUAGAGUAUGACAGAGGCAAGUGGAACUAAAUGUGUAGCGGUAAAAUGCGUAGAUAUAUGUAAGAACACCAGUGGCGAAGGCAGCUUGCUGGGUCGAUACUGACAUUGAGGCACGAAAGCGUGGGGAGCAAACAGGAUUAGAUACCCGAGUAGUC
rnacentral:rRNA from 1 species